GGAAGAUUCGAACCUGCCGCAGGUUCGGGUCGAACGCAGUGAGACAACGGAGCCGUUUACGGCGACGGCCCGAAGGGCGAGCAAAGCGAGUCAUCCUGCACGACCCACCA
rnacentral:sRNA from 1 species